rnacentral:misc_RNA from 1 species
AACGCACAUUGCGCCCGCCAGUAUUCUGGCGGGCAUGCCUGUUCGAGCGUCAUUUCAACCCUCAGGCCCCCAGUGCCUGGCGUUGGGGAUCGGCGUGGGCGGCGACGGCUCUCCGGAGCCCGAGCCAAUGCCUGCCGGCCCCGAAAUUCAGUGGCGGUCUCGCUGUAGUCCCCCUCUGCGUAGUAGCACAACUCGCAUUGGAGCUCGGCGGUGGCCAUGCCGUAAAACACCCCACUUCUGAAAGUUGACCUCGGAUCAGGUAGGAAUACCCGCUGAACUUAA